rnacentral:rRNA from 1 species
AUGAAGUGUGUCUCAAGUGUAAGAUAUAGGGUGAAAGUAAACAGAGACCUCACUGAAACUAUUGUGCCCAAAAGAGGUUUGCACCAGGGGGACCCCCUCUCACCAUACCUAUUCCUAUUUUGUGCAGAGAGUUUCUCGGCGCUCUUGCACCAAGCUGAGAUUGAGGGGUCGAUUCAAGGAGUCCAAAUUUGCCAAGGUGCCCCUAAGAUCAACCAUUUGUUCUUCACAGAUGACUCGCUGAUUGUGAUGAAGGCAAAUGCUCAAGGGGACUCGCUCAUUGUGAUGAAGGCAAAGGCUUAA